rnacentral:rRNA from 1 species
GACGAACGCUGGCGGCGUGCUUAACACAUGCAAGUCGAACGGAAAGGCCCCUUUGGGGGUACUCGAGUGGCGCACGGGUGAGUAACACGUGAGUAACCUGCCCUUGACUUCGGGAUAACUUCAGGAAACUGGGGCUAAUACCGGAUAGGAAUCCUUGCUGCAUGGUGGGGGUUGGAAAGCUUCGGCGGUUUUGGAUGGACUCGCGGCUUAUCAGCUUGUUGGUGGGGUAGUGGCUUACCAAGGCUUUGACGGGUAGCCGGCCUGAGAGGGCGACCGGCCACAUUGGGUCUGAGAGACGGCCCAGACUCCUACGGGAGGCAGCAGUGGGGAAUAUUGCACAAUGGGCGGAAGCCUGAUGCAGCAACGCCGCGUGCGGGAUGACGGCCUUCGGGUUGUAAACCGCUUUCAGCAGGGGCGAAGCUUGUGGUGACGGUACCUGCAGAAGAAGCACCGGCUAACUACGUG